AUGGUGUGUGCAGGUGUUGUCGCUUCUCCGCAGUCGCCACUUGGAGGGCUUUGUCGAUGGCACACUACCGUGCGCUCCGCCGUAUCAUCCGGGGUAUCAUGCUUGGGUAGCUCAGGAUCAAGCCAUCCUCUCUGCUAUACAGUCAUCUCUCACAGAGGGGGUCUCGUCACUGGUCAUCUUCGCUGCUACGUCUCGGGGUGCGUCGACGACUCUUCAUACCAGUUUUGCCUCGCAGUCCCAGGCAUGUGCUCAUGCCAUUCGCACGGCGCUCGGGAAGGUGAAGCUUAA
rnacentral:rRNA from 1 species